UACAAAACCCCAGGCUGGAUUUUAAUAUAGAAGGGCUUCUUACGAAAGAUAUUAUUCAAUCACGAGUUGGCCCUUCUUCUACUCUGGGGUUUUCUUCUGAUUUUAUCUGUUGGUUAUCCUUCAUUGCACCCGUCUCAACCUGGACUUGUUCAAGCUGCUCUUCCUGUUACAGGGAAUAACGCAGAUGUUAUUCGUAGAUCUCUUAGUUCUCAAUUAGCAUUGAUGACCGGAGGAUUAAAGGACUCCAAUCAGUUCUUGAAUCCAUGGGAGGACGAGCU